UAGCUCCUUAUAAUAACUUUUCAAGCAUUCUAGUUACAACUGCUCUUCAAGAGAAACAAUUGAAAGUGUAAUUAGUCACUGCCCAUGUUAUAUUAAAACUGACUAUAACAGUCAAGUAUUUAAGUGGUUUUGUCAACAAUUUAAUAAUUCUCAAAGACAAGGUAUUGUGGAACUUUAAAAACUCUAUCUUCUUAAAAACAAAGAAGGGGAGAAAUUAUACCCCCAUGCACAUUAUUUAAAUCAUACUUUUAUUUUUAAGAAUUUUGAAAUUUAGAUGUCAAAGAACUUAAGAAAUGCCUCAUAGUAUCCUAAAACUAGACAUAAUCAUGUCUAGGUGAGAUGAAAAGGAUCCACUUAAUGGCACAUGGCAUGAUCCUGAACAGAAAGUUAAUAUGGGGGAGAGAGGGGUGUUUCUGUUUUUUCCACAGAAUGCUGCAGAAGCAUGCUAGCUUCCAGAAUGAUUUGUGUGACAGACUGACCUGUGAGUUCCUGAAUGCCCUGACAGUGGUGACAAGAAAGCUGUGUUGAGCGCACAGAGAAAGAGGAAUAAAGGAGAGCAGUCACUUGCAAACAAGAUGAAGAAACUUCCUAUCUCCGCCAUGGGCUACAACAAGGAGAACCUAUUUCUGCAGUGAUCUUGGCAGUAAUCCUGGGCUUAGUUGCCGCAGGUGCAGGAACUGGCAUUGCCUCUUUGGUCACCUCCCAACAGCAAUACACCCAGCUUAGCCUUGCUGUGGACAGAGAUAUACAAGAGUUAUAAAGGGGCUUGAAAAAGUUAAAAGACUCCCUGGUCUCUCUGUCUGAGGUAGUGUUACAGAAUAGACGAGGCCUUGAUUUAAUGUCCCUACAAGAGGGAGGGCUAUGUGCAGCCCUCAAAGAAGAAUGUUGUUUUUAUUCUGAUAAGACUGGCUUAGUUCAAGAUAGCAUAGACAAAGUUAGAACUAGUUUAGAAGAGAGAAAACAUAACAGAGAGAAACAAGAAUAUUGGUAUCAAAAUUGGUUUUAUACUUCUCCUUGGCUCACUACCCUACUUCCCAGCCUUUUGGGACCUUUCGUGAGCAUUUUACUGCUUUUGUCUUUUGGCCCUUGGGCCUUUAAUAGAUUAAUAAGUUUUGUUUAGUCACAGAUUGAAGCUCCUUUAAGCAAGCCGGUUGCAGUUCGCUACCAUCGACUGGAUAACCAAGACUCAGACGAAGAUCUCCCUUCCACCGAUGCAGAAAGAGCAGCUGCUGGCCUUCAGUUUUUCACCCUUGCUGCAAAUGCAGAGUCCCCUUGGUUCCCCAAGCCAUGGAGACAAUAGAGAUGAGGAAGGUGACCUCCAGCUUCUAAUAUAGCCUAAGAGCCACAAAUUGUGGUGUUACAAUUGGCAUAAUUCUUGUAGAGGCCUUGCUGAAUCUGAGGUUGACAAUUCUCCUUUAGGAGCUGCACAGGACUCAGACCUGUGCAUACUGGUUUGUGAUAAAAUGAAUUCAGUAUGGGCACCAGCGUAGGUACAAGGCUAAGCACUGCAGGGGAAGGUCUAACUAGACCGUUUCUGAGUUCCCUGAGAGACACACACGGUUAGCACGGAGGUUAGUAUCUAGUUCCAGUUACAACCAAAGAAUCUUUCUAAGGCUCUGCCUCCCCUCCCCAAAAGAUACCAAGAGCCAUGAGUGUGGGUCGUGAUAGCACCCACGGGAGGAAUCAGGUCAAUGCUCCCCCAGCAAUGGUUAAUGCCCACUCAUCCAAGGGUGAGAAGAUCAUUUGAUCACCUCAGUUAAGUGUGACCUUAUUAAAAUUAAUUCAAAGGGGGGAGAUGUUGGAGACCAUACUGUGAGAAAGUAGGCCUUUCACAGCUUCCCAUCCUAAUAAGCCAAAUGGCCUUGUGUUAAGGAGCUGGUCACCCCCUCCUCCUUAUUCCCUUCCUGGCACCUGAGGCAGUAAAAAGCAGAAUUAUAGUCCCCUCUUCCUUAUCUCUUCCUGACUCCCAAGACUUCUAAGGACAUGAGUUAUGUGCUGAGCCCAGCCUGACACCCAAGGCUGUUAAGGAGGGAUCUACAUUCUGGAGAUAAGACUCAGAGUGCCUCCCGCCUGCAGUUUGAAUUUGGCCUUCAUUUCCCCAGAUGCCCACUUCUUUGUUCUUAGUUAAUCACCCCUCAACCCCUCCCUAUUCCCCUUGUUGUGUGCUUAAAACCUGGCAUUUCAGCCUAAUAAACUGAGACCUUGACAGGAAUCCUCCACUCAUGAAAGCCAGAUUAUGGAGCCAGCUAGCAUUUGGAAUGAAUAAGGAAAAUGUGUUCUAUAUCCAUCAUGACAUUUUAUUCAGGCACUUUGAAAGAAGAAAUCACGUCACUUUGGGAAAAUGGGUGGACUGUGAGACACUCAGCGAAAGUAAACAUGACUUAAUUCCAAGCUACAUUGCAGGCUGGAGAGAUGGCUUGACGGUGAAGAGCGCUUCUCUGCAACAACUCCCUGCUUCUGAUCUGUUGGACACUGGCUUCAUAGAGUAAACUCCUUCACCAGGUGUGGUGACUCACACCUGUAAUCGCAGCACUGCCAGCCUGAGGCAGGAGAUUUGCUGCAAGUUACAGUUAGCCUAACCCCUACCCUAACUGUGCUGGUGUAUGAGGCCCUGACUCAAGAAAGAAGAUCUUCUUCUUUAAAAGAACAAAACCAAACCAAACCAACCAAACAAACAAACAAACAAAACGAGCUAAUUGUUUAGAGAUGGCUCUUUUGGGAGACUAGGGUUCAAUUCCCAGAGCUCACAGGUGUCAUUAACUCAAGUUCCAAAGUAUCUGACACCCUAAUACAGACAUUUAUGCAGGCAAAGCAAUAAUACACACGAAAUUAAUGUAAAUU
rnacentral:lncRNA from 1 species